CCUACGGGAGGCAGCAGUGGGGAAUAUUGGACAAUGGGCGAAAGCCUGAUCCAGCCAUGCCGCGUGUGUGAAGAAGGCCUUCGGGUUGUAAAGCACUUUCAGUGGGGAAGAAAGCCUUGGGGCUAAUGCCCUCGAGGAAGGACAUCACCCACAGAAGAAGCACCGGCUAACUCCGUGCCAGCAGCCGCGGUAAUACGGAGGGUGCGAGCGUUAAUCGGAAUUACUGGGCGUAAAGCGCGCGUAGGCGGUCUGAUAAGCCGGUUGUGAAAGCCCCGGGCUCAACCUGGGAACGGCAUCCGGAACUGUCAGGCUAGAGUGCAGGAGAGGAAGGUAGAAUUCCCGGUGUAGCGGUGAAAUGCGUAGAGAUCGGGAGGAAUACCAGUGGCGAAGGCGGCCUUCUGGACUGACACUGACGCUGAGGUGCGAAAGCGUGGGUAGCAAACAGGAUUAGAUACCCGUGUAGUC
rnacentral:rRNA from 1 species